CAGCUGUGACGUCAGAGCCGGCCACAGGCGGCGGCCAGCCCGCGCUGCUGGUACCCCGUGUGCCUGCUGGCCGUGGGCCCCCCGGCUCCCACCCCUUAACCCCUUCCCGGCUUCCCUUUCCCAGACGGCCAUCCCCCAGCUGGCCUGGCCCACAAGAUUCCCAGAUUUCACAACCCGGGCUGGCGCUGACUCACGUACAGGAGAGAUGAAACACUGGAGCAAAGGGGACCGGGUGUGCUGCCCACGAGCAUGAGCGCCGUGAGGAGGCCCGUGAGUAGGGACGUGCGGAGCCACAGGGGAGGGUGGGGCUCCCAGUUGUUGAACGUCACCGGAAUUUGACUCUGCUGUGUAACCCUAGACAAGUCCAUUCUCCAGGUACCCACAGAGUGGAAUUCGGCCGAAGGGACCCAAUUGUCAUCUUCUAAGCGUGUUCCCAGGCCAGGGACCGCCAGGGCUCUGACUGACACCCUACUCCUGCCCUCAGAAGUUCCAGAACGUUCCUGGGACUUGGGAGCCUCCAGCUCUGGCAGCUGUCCCGGAACACUGGAAUGUUGGGACUCAAAGCUCCUUCCUGCCCGCCUUCCGGGAGGCACUUGAGGUCUGAGGUACCAGGGCCCGCUGCAGCUCUUGGUUCAAGGAUGAUGGAGUGACAAAGUCUGUCCGGGUCUCUCAUGCUGGCAGUCUUUGGAGGAUAUGCAGUUUCUCCUUGAGCUCCAGAGUGACCAUACACAAGGCCAACACAAAGACAAAGCCCCACCCCCGCCCUAGAAAUGACUGCUGGUGUGUUCCUGGAGGCCCACACAGAACGAAUUCUAUGGUGCGCAGCGAGAGUACGAGCCAGUGGAGUGGCCC
rnacentral:lncRNA from 1 species